GACGAACGCUGGCGGCGUGCUUAACACAUGCAAGUCGAACGGAAAGGCCCUGCUUUUGUGGGGUGCUCGAGUGGCGAACGGGUGAGUAACACGUGAGUAACCUGCCCUUGACUUUGGGAUAACUUCAGGAAACUGGGGCUAAUACCGGAUAGGAGCUCCUGCUGCAUGGUGGGGGUUGGAAAGUUGCGGGGGUUGGGGAUGGACUCGCGGCUUAUCAGCUUGUUGGUGGGGUAGUGGCUUACCAAGGCUUUGACGGGUAGCCGGCCUGAGAGGGUGACCGGCCACAUGGGGACUGAGAUACGGCCCAGACUCCUACGGGAGGCAGCAGUGGGGAAUAUUGCACAAUGGGCGGAAGCCUGAUGCAGCAACGCCGCGUGCGGGAUGACGGCCUUCGGGUUGUAAACCGCUUUCGCCUGUGACGAAGCGUGAGUGACGGUAAUGGGUAAAGAAGCACCGGCUAACUACGUG
rnacentral:rRNA from 1 species